UGCAUCUUGUUCAGACCAGGCUGCUC
rnacentral:piRNA from 2 species